rnacentral:rRNA from 1 species
AUUCCAGCUCCAAUAGCGUAUAUUUAAGUUGUUGCAGUUAAAAAGCUCGUAGUUGGAUUUUGGGUUAGGGUGUCCGGUCCGCCGUUUCGGUGUGCACUGGGCGCUCUUUCCUUUCUGCCGGGGACCGUUGGGUGUCUUAAUUGCCAUCCCUCGGGAGUCGGCGUUGUUACUUUGAAAAAAUUAGAGUGUUCAAAGCAAGCCAUCGCUCUGAAUACAUUAGCAUGGAAUAACAUGAUAGGACUCCGGUCUUAUUUUGUUGGUUUCCGAGACUGGAGUAAUGAUUAAGAGGGACAGUCGGGGGCAUCCGUAUUUCAUUGUCAGAGGUGAAAUUCUUGGAUUUAUGAAAGACGAACUUCUGCGAAAGCAUUUGCCAAGGAUGUUUUCAUCA